rnacentral:lncRNA from 1 species
CUUUGCCUUGUGUUCCAGUUCAUUAUUCAGAUUUUUGCAUAUGUUGAAACCCUUUUUAAAACACCAAAAACGUCCAUCCAACUUGCUCCAUAUGCAUGCAAUCCAUUUCAGCCCAAAAUUGCUCCAAAAUGCACCAAAAUGCACUUUCUUGCCAACUUUGUUAUUAGGACCUACAAACACACGAAAAUAGCUUAAAAUACAUAAUUAACUAAGAAAUAACAACAUAAAUGCACAAGAACAAGCUAACUAAGUCGCAUAAAUAUGCUCCUAUCAAAUUCCCCCACACUUAACUUUUGCUAGUCCUCGAGCAAAA